GGGGGUGGGGCCAUAGGGCUCUCAAGGGAUUAUGUCCUUUGUCUUUGGCUACCAGGUCAGCUAGAGAAAGACCAUCAGGUAGGGGCAGGGUUAGGCAUGUCUGAGCUCAGGCUCGCCUUUGGUGAGGCUUGCUGUGGCUGCUGUGGGGGCUGGGAGUGUGGUUCCCAGGCCAAUGGAGUUAUGUUCCCAGGGGAAUUAUGGUUGCUUCUGCUGUGUCACACAGGUCACUAGGGAAGUGGGGGAAAGCCGGCAGUCACAGGUCUCACCCAGAUCCCAUGCAGCCCACAGCCUGAAAGGCUGGUCUCACUCCCAAGGUGCUCCCCCGCCCCCACCGCCCGCCAGCAGCAGCGAGUUUAUUUCUAGGUAGCCGGUGAGCAGGGCUGAGAAUGUUCUGCAGGCUCCAAGCCUCUCAGCUGAGAAAGCAAGCAAACUCACAGUUCCUCAGUUGUCCCACAGAGCCUGCAGCAGCAAUCCACCUCCCUCAAAGGGUCUGUGGAUUCUUUCAGCUUUCCUGGUAUGUUCUUGUGGCAGUUCUUAGAGCAAAAGUUCAUGGUGUGUGUCUACACAUGCCACUCUGUCCGACCUAGUGGGGGCUGCAAGUUAGUUUUGCCUCCUAUCCGCCAUUUUCCCUCUAUUGGAAGUACACUUGAAGUGAGAGUACCUUUGGAAAAGAUUGGUGACUCUUGGAACUGGGUGAGGAACUGGGUAGGUAACCACAAUUGAGCCCUUGGCAAUCUAAGCUUCCAUGGAUCAUCUUUCUUCUGCCCAGGAAGAAAAUACUUCAGGGAUCUUAACCCAAAAGCAUGGAGGUCCACACCAUCCUCCAGGAUACUACAGUUGACAACUGGAUCCCAUCUCCUGUGGAUUCCCUCUCUGCCUAAGAGCAGUCCCCGCUGCAUCCUUGUUAGUCAAGGCGACUGAGGAGAUAGUCAUGGGAUUCCUCCCUGACUGUGUUUUUUCCUCAUGCCAUGGAAGCCGUUUUACACACUCAUCACACUUGGCAUUUUUCUGCUAGCGGACUAACCUCCUAUGAACCUCUUCUACUUACUAUUCAUCAUAUUAUUCAAUCAUGCUGCAAUAACCUUAACCCUGUGGCUCUCUGGACCUCUCCAUCAGAUGAAACACCACAUGGCUGCUUAACUCUGACAGACCAGCUUUUAAUUCCUUGGGAGCAAUUCCUGUGGACAAUGCUGAGUUGUCCUGGUUUACAGAUGGCUCACAUUUAAAGAAUGAGUCUGGCAAGUAUUGUGCAGGCUGUGCAGUCGUGACUUCCUUUGAGAUUGUGAAAGCAGCUCAUUUACUAUUAACUACUUCAGCCCAGCAGGCAGAUCUGUUUGCCCUCGCUUGAGCCUGACUCCUUGCUACAGGAAAGACAAUGUUUAUGUAAGCAGCAGGUCUUGGUGCCUCAGUUGAAACUUCCAAUUUAACAUCCUGACACACACUACUCCCUCUUCCUGUGAUCAUCAGAACAAGAUAAAACCUUGUGUGUCUGGAUAGUUCUCAUCUGUUAAGAUUCAGGCUCAACCACACAUGUGACAAUGUCUCUUGGGGACGCAGCGGUGAAUUCCUCUCACAGUAUGUCUAAGGAGCAUUGGCUCAGUGAGAUUUCACAUUCAGUGGAUUUCAGCCAUCUCAUCAAUUUCUCCAUGCUACUGAAAUCUCAUUGUUCCACUCAGAAUUUGUCUUUUCCCCAGGAUGGCUUUCAAAGCAUUUUACUGACUGUGUCAAGCCAGAGUAAGUAAAAUGCUGAUGAGUUUGGAUUUCCUCCUCCAGUCUCUCGGCCUUUGUGUUUUAUUGUUUUGUAUCUCAUUUCUAUAUGACAUCAGAUGCUGUAUUAGAAAUUCCUGCUUGAUCUUGAAAUAUAUCAAAGGUACUGACUGAUGAGGCAUUAAACACAACUUAAAUUCAGUCUUUAAUCACUACCACUUUUAAAACAUUUAAUAGUGUAAUUACGAAAAAUUCAUAAAGACUUGGAAACUUCACAUCAUAAUAAAUUCAGAUAUUAGCGAGGCUGUCAGAUGCUGUUACUCUAUUCUAAAUACCAGUACCAGAAGGACGAGACAAUUUCUCAACAUAUUUGGAAAUAAUACUUCAGGUUAAGAUAUGAGCUGGAUGUCUUAUUUUGGUCUAUUCUUUUUCAUGUUUCCAUGUUCCUUUCUCUUUUUCUUGAAAGAUUAGACCUAGAAUCUAUCAUAACCAACUAAUGCAUACUCUAUAUAAAUUUGUUGAUCAAAUAAAAUGUUAGAGCUAUUUAAAUUUAUCAUAACAGCUUUAUUAAAAAACUUUUACUGGGCUUAGUUCAAGAACCAGCUUUGCUCUAACAAUCCUGGGGCCCCAUGUUAUUUAGUUGCCACAUGGCCUCACAUUCAAAGAAAUACAAUCUAAAAGCUAAAAGUAAUUUUAACAGGAAUUCUGUUCUUUCAGCAUCUCUGAAAUAGCUUAUAAGCGAUUUAUUUUUCAACUCACAUCAAUAUUUAUCAAAGUACUCUUUUUUUUAAUAAAAAGAGAGGGCAGGGAUUCACUAUAACAUAUCACAGCUUGUUACAAAUAAUAAAUAUUUGCAAGUGAUUAAAACAAAUAAAUAUUUGCAAGGAUAAACCAAUAAAAUAAUGAAGAAAAAUAUAGAGCUUAGAAAUAGACAUGUUUAUAAUGAGGACCAUGAGAUUGACAAAAGUGCAUUAUAAAUCAGUGAUAAAGUAGUAAAAAGGAAGAACUGUUCAUUAAGUGGUGCUGAGGAAGUUGGCUAUCAAUAAAGGAAAAAUAAUACUAUAUCCCUACCUCACAUCAUUAGAAAACUUUAUAGAUUAUGUUUAUGGCCUUAGGUUAAAACAUAUUUCUUUCUAACUUGUAUUUUAUGUUCAAGGGUAUAAGUGCAGGUUUGUUACGUAGGUAAACUUGUGUCAUGGGGGUUUGUUGUACAGAUUAUUUCAUCACCCAGGUAUUUCUUUUUUUUUUUUGGCUGUUGAAUCCUUUUGAAGGAUCUAAAAACAAAUUUUAUUAGAAAGAAAAUGUAUUUGCUUCUUUUUUUUAUUAUUAUACUUUAAGUUCUAGGGUACAUGUGCACAACAUGCAGGUUUGUUACAUAUGUAUACAUCAUCACCCAGGUAUUAAGCUUAGUACCCAUUCGUUAUUUUUCCUGAUCUCUCCCUCCUCCCACCAUCCACCCUCUAUUUUUUAUUUUAUUUUAUUUUUUAUUUUUUGUUGAGAUGGAGUCUUGCUCUGUCACCAGGCUGGAGUGCAGUGGCACAAUCCCGGCUCACUGCAACCUCUGCCUCCCGGGUUCAAGUGAUUCUCCUGCCUCAGCCUCCCGAGUAGCUGGGAUUACAGGUGUGCACCACUACGCCCAGCUAAUUUUUGUACUUUUUAAUAGAGACGGGGUUUCACCAUGUUGGCCAGGAUGGUCUUGAUCUCUUGACCUUGUGAUCUGCCCGCCUCGGCCUCCCAAAAUGCUGGGAUUACAGGCGUGAGCCACUGCGCCCGGCCCCAUCCACCCUCUAAAAGGCCCUAGUGUGAGUUAUUCCCCUCUAUGUGUCCAUGUGUUCUCAUCAUUUAGCUCCCACUUACAAGUGAGAACAUGCAGUAUUUGGUUUUCUUUUCCUGUGUUAGUUUGCUAAGCAUAAUGGACUUUGGCUUCAUCCAUGUCCCUGCAAAGGACAUGAUCUCAUUCGUUUUUCAUGGUAAAGCGCAUUUCUUAAUCAAGAUCCCCAAAGCACACAGGAUAAAUGAAUCUUCCUUUAAGUUUGAUAACAUUAAAAUGAAGUUUCAUUACGACAGCAACCACCAACACCACAAAGCCACAGAUGGGAGAAUAUAUACUGCCACAAAUCAACAAAACACUAGUAUUCCGGACACAUAGAGAACUCCUAUAAAUCAAUAAAGAAAAGACAAAAGCUCAAUAAGGAAAAGACAAGCUCAAUUAAAAUAUGGCAAAAAAUACAAACUAGAAACUCACAGAAAAUGAAGUCCGAAUGGCCAAUAAACAUAUUAAGCAUGUGAGGGGUCCACUUUCAAAGUGAUAAAGUAAAUAAAAGUUAAAACAAUGGUAAGAUAGCACUGAUGAAAUUUUAAAAAUAUACAUGAAGACACCAUGAAUUGGCAAGUAUACGAAGAAAAGGAACUCUGAUACAUUGCUAUAAGAUGGUUAAAUUGGGAAGGAUAGUCUCUUCAAUAAAUGGUGAUGGAAAAACUGGAUAUGCACAUGCAGAACAAUGAAGCUAGACCCCUAUCCUUUAUCAUAUAUAAAAAUAAACUGUAAGAGGAUUAAGGACUUAAAUAUAAGAUCCAAAACAGUAAAACUAUUAGAAGAAAACAUAGGGGAAAUGCUUCAUGACAUUAAUUUAGACAAGGAUUUUUUUGACAAGAGCUCAAAAGCACAGGUAACAAAAGCAAAAAUAGACAAAUAAGAUUAUAUC